CAAUAGCGUAUAUUAAAGCUGUUGCGGUUAAAAAGCUCGUAGUUGGAUUUCUGUCAAGGACAACUGGUCCGCCCCUCGGGUGAGCACAUAGUUUGGUCUUGGCAUCUUGUUGGAAACUGUUGCUGCACUUGGUUGUGUGGCGCAGUGUCCAGCACUUUCACUUUGAGGAAAUUGGAGUGUUUCAAGCAGGCACAUGCCUUUGGACACAGUAGCAUGGAGUAAUUAGAUUGGGCUUUUGCUCCAACUUGUCGGUUUCUGGAGCUGAGGUGAGAAUUAAUGGGGAUUGUUGGGGGCAUCCGAAUUUAGCCGUCAGAGGUGAAAUUCUUGGAUCUGCUAAAGACGGACAACUGCGAAAGCGUUUGCCCAGGAUGUUUUCAUUGA
rnacentral:rRNA from 1 species